CGUCGCAUAAAACAACUGACUCAGAACUGAAGCGGACAAGGGGAAUCCGACUGUUUAAUAAAAACAUAGCUUUGUGAUGGCCUGAAAAGGUGUUGACACAAAAGUGAUUUCUGCCCAGUGCUUUGAACGUGAAUAUGAAGUAAUUUGUAGAAGCUCAGGUAAACGGCGGGAGUAACUAUGACUCUCUUAAGGUAGCCAAAUGCCUCGCCAUCUAAUUAGUGACGCGCAUGAAUGGAUCAAUGAGAUUCCCACUGUCCCUAUUUACUAUUUAGCGAACCCACAGUCAAGGGAACGGGCUUGAAAUAAUCAGCGGGGAAAGAAGACCCUGUUGAGCUUGACUCUAGUCCGACUUUGUGAAAUGACUAACGAAGUUUAGCCUUAGGUGGGAGCCAACGCGCCAAUGAAAAACCACUAUUUGUUACGUCAUUUUACUUACUCCGUAAAGAAGUGAUCGGUUUACCGAUUCUAGAACUAAGGGUAGUUUACUGCCUGAGCUUUGCGGAAGACACGGUCAGGUGGGGAG
rnacentral:rRNA from 1 species